AUCUUCUUCGGAAGAGAGCGGCGGACGGGUGAGUAACGCGUGCCUAUUCUGCCCUGUACACACGGAUAACAUACCGAAAGGUAUGCUAAUACGGGAUAACAUAAGAAAUUCGCAUGUUUUUCUUAUCAAAGCUCCGGCGGUACAGGAUGGACCCGCGUCUGAUUAGCUAGUUGGUGAGGUAACGGCUCACCAAGGCGACGAUCAGUAGCCGACCUGAGAGGGUGAUCGGCCACAUUGGAACUGAGACACGGUCCAAACUCCUACGGGAGGCAGCAGUGGGGAAUAUUGCACAAUGGGCGAAAGCCUGAUGCAGCAACGCCGCGUGAGCGAUGAAGGCCUUCGGGUCGUAAAGCUCUGUCCUCAAGGAAGAUAAUGACGGUACUUGAGGAGGAAGCCCCGGCUAACUACGUGCCAGCAGCCGCGGUAAUACGUAGGGGGCUAGCGUUAUCCGGAUUUACUGGGCGUAAAGGGUGCGUAGGCGGUCUUUUAAGUCAGGAGUGAAAGGCUACGGCUCAACCGUAGUAAGCUCUUGAAACUGGAGGACUUGAGUGCAGGAGAGGAGAGUGGAAUUCCUAGUGUAGCGGUGAAAUGCGUAGAUAUUAGGAGGAACACCAGUAGCGAAGGCGGCUCUCUGGACUGUAACUGACGCUGAGGCACGAAAGCGUGGGGAGCAAACAGGAUUAGAUACCCUGGUAGUCCACGCCGUAAACGAUGAGUACUAGGUGUCGGGGGUUACCCCCCUCGGUGCCGCAGCUAACGCA
rnacentral:rRNA from 1 species